rnacentral:rRNA from 1 species
GAGGAAAAGAAACUAACAAGGAUUCCCCUAGUAGCGGCGAGCGAAGCGGGAAGAGCUCAAAUUUAUAAUCUGGCACUUUCAGUGUCCGAGUUGUAAUCUCUAGAAGUGUUUUCCGCAUUGGACCGCACACAAGUCUGUUGGAAUACAGCGGCACAGUGGUGAGACCCCCGUAUACGGUGCGGAUGCCCAAUGCUUUGUGAUACACUUUCGAAGAGUCGAGUUGUUUGGGAAUGCAGCUCAAAUUGGGUGGUAAAUUCCAUCUAAAGCUAAAUAUUGGCGAGAGACCGAUAGCGAACAAGUACCGUGAGGGAAAGAUGAAAAGCACUUUGGAAAGAGAGUUAACAGUACGUGAAAUUGUUGGAAGGGAAACGCUUGAAGUCAGACUUGCUAUUCGGGGCUUGCUCCGAGUUGCAGGCCAGCAUCAGUUUUCUGGGGUGGAAAAUCACGGUUAGAAGGUAGCAACUCCGGUUGUGUUAUAGCUUUCCGUUGGAUACAUCCUGGGGGACUGAGGAACGCAGUGUGCUUUUAGCAGGAGCUUCGGCUUCAUCACACUUAGGAUGCUGGUGGAAUGGCUUUAAACGACCCGUCUUGA